GCCCAAUUGUCCUUCCAACUUCCGAGCGCAUAUCUCGCCAUUGUGGUUGUUCCAUCACUUUACCAAUAAAUUCUUUGAUCACAGUGAAUAGAUGCUUUCCAUAACUCAUGUAGUAACCACGCAUCACCAUGGAUGGAUGAUUGCUUGGCUUCUUCAGUAUGAUCUUUAUGUUUACAUAUGUACGUAUUUCUAAUUCUUUAUAUAUGUUAAGUAAUUGCACAUCAGUAUAACAUGCCUCAUGAUGUAUAUUGGAAUUGAUUGUUUAUGGAGCACUCAAGAGACGCUACUGAGAAGAGAAGAUAAAAUGACCAAAGAGAAGGGUUUCGAUUAUCCGACCUUCAAGUUUCUUUCUUCCAAUAUACAACCAUCUCAAAAAUCAUUCCCAAAUCUGAUUCUACAUUAAAAUUGUACCGCUACUUGGAUGGCAUGCCGCGAGGGUCUUGAGGUUUUGAUCGUUCUGAAUGCUUCACAGGCUCCCGGCUAAUCAGGUUCAUGUUGUGAUGCAUCUACAUCCAUCAGUUUAUAUGUUCAGGGAUCUAACUUUAUCAGGUGUGGUUAAAAAGUCAAUGGAUUCUCAAAGCUUAUAACACACACAUUGAACAUUCUGAUGAAAAUAUUGUAG